rnacentral:rRNA from 1 species
CAUGUCUUUUAGAUAAUAAUUUAAAGUCUGAUCUGCUCAAUGAAUAAUUAAAUAGCCGCAAUAUUUUAAUUGUGCUAAGGUAGCAUAAUAAUUAGUUUUUUAAUUGAAAGCUAGAAUGAAGGAUUUAACAAGAGAAUUUCUGUCUCUGUUUAAUUUAUUAUUGAAUUUUAUUUUUAAGUUAAAAAGCUUAAAUGAUUUUAAAAGACGAGAAGACCCUAUAGAAUUUUACAUUGAUGAAAAUUUAUUUUAGUAAUUAAUUUUAUUAAGUGUUUAGUUGGGGUAAUUAUUAGAUAAGAAAAAUUCUAAUUUUAAUAGUUAAUGAUUUUUAAAUAUUAGUACUAAUUUUUUUGAGUAAAAAAUAAAUUACCUUAGGGAUAACAGCGUAAUUUUUCUUUAGAGUUCAUAUUAAAAGAAAAGAUUACGACCUCGAUGUUGGAUUAAAAUAAAAUUCUAAUGCAGAAGUUAGAAAUUUUAGUCUGUUCGACUAUUAAAAUU